UAAGAGGUCCCGCCUGCCCUGUGACUUUACGUUUAACGGCCGCGGUAUUUUGACCGUGCGAAGGUAGCGCAAUCACUUGUCUCUUAAAUGGGGACCUGUAUGAAUGGCAUAACGAGGGUUUAACUGUCUCCUUUUCCAAGUUAAUGAAAUUGAUCUCCCCGUGCAGAAGCGGGGAUAAGAACAUAAGACGAGAAGACCCUAUGGAGCUUUAGGCAAUAAACAGACCGUACCAAAUUACCCAAAUAAAGGAACAAAACAUACGAUCAAACCUGUUUUAAUGCCUUUGGUUGGGGCGACCGCGGGGAAACACAAAACCCCCAUGUGGAACAGGACUACUCAUCCUCCAAACAAGAGCCUCCGCUCUAAUAAACAGAACAUCUGACCUUUACGAUCCGGCAGAGCCGAUCAACGAACCGAGUUACCCUAGGGAUAACAGCGCAAUCCCCUUAUAGAGCCCAUAUCGACAAGGGGGUUUACGACCUCGAUGUUGGAUCAGGAUAUCCUAAUGGUGCAGCCGCUAUUAAGGG
rnacentral:rRNA from 1 species